CGUUGAUUACGUCCCUGCCCUUUGUACACACCGCCCGUCGCUACUACCGAUUGAAUGGCUCAGUGAGGCUUUCGGACUGGCCUAGGGAGAGUGGCAACACUCACCCAGGGCCGGAAAGUUGUCCAAACUCGGUCAUUUAGAGGAAGUAAAAGUCGUAACAAGG
rnacentral:rRNA from 1 species